UUUCCUGUCUCCAGCACUCUGGGUUACUGAAGAUUCUUCACCUCAAAUUCCAUGAAAUUGUUCUCUGGAGUUGUUCGUUAUGGCUUACCCACCACUGCUGGGUUCUGAUUUGGGGAAGUGGGUUAGAAGGAUAGAUUACUGAAUCACAGAGCCUUAGGGUAGGAAGGAACCAACAAAAACAUUUGGCCCAAACUGCACUUGGACAAGGAUCCUCUCCGUAUCACACCUGACAAGUGGACAUCCAGUUUUUGCUUGAAGAGUCAAAGUGAAGGAGAAGGAGCCAAGACUAAUUUCCCCAAAACAGCCUCUUGAAGGGUUCGCUGGAAAUAGCUCCACAGGUCCAUGAAACACAGGGUUGUCAAUUUUUAAGUGUCCUUUUCCAUUUCCUACAACUAAUCCUCAUCAGGAGUGAUUCCAAAGAUCUUCACCAUCCUUCUUCUGACGGCUCUCUUCCUAAAAUGUCCCUUUAAAAUAAUGAGCAGGAUGGAAUAAAAUAACCAGUCCAUCACCUUACUUAUUCUUCACAUUACUCCUCUCAAUGUGACCUAAGAUCAUGUUAGUUCUAAUGGGUGCCCCACAUUCCAAGUUGACUCAUACUAAAUUUAUAAUGUACUAAAACUCCUGGAUCUUGUUCAAAUGAACUGCUGUAUAACUAUGCUUCUAACUAAUGAUGUCUAUUUUUUGGAACCUACUGCACAUUUAUCUCUUUUAAAUCUCAUUUUAUUACAUUUGGCCAAGGGGGCUAUAGACAUAUGGGUUUGGUAGUCAGGUGCCUAGAGACAAGAGCAAAAGGCAGAGAAAGGAAAUGGAAGAGCCAAGGGAGAAAGG